rnacentral:tmRNA from 1 species
GGGGGUGACUGGUUUCGACAGGGUAUGUCUGAGGUGGUAAGCAGGCCGUGGUCUCCUCGCCACGCUAAACAGGGGUACCGUCAAAAUGAAUUGACAAGAACAACUCUUUUGAGCCCCAGUUGGCUCUUGCCGCAUAACAUAAGUCGGCACGUCUAACCGGGAUUUCUCCCGCUCCCGGGGUGAUGUCAUGCUAGGGAGGCGCUCGUACGGACGUAGCUGGUAUGCCGUGCGCUAAGAUCGAACCCGCUAGGAAGCCGCGCGCGUGUUGCUAGGUGCAAGGCGACCGAAUCCCAACUAGCAACUGAGCCUGGAGAAACCCACCAGGGAUGUGCUUUGGACCGGAGUUCGAUUCUCCGCACCUCCACCA